UCGACCUAGAAAUCACUGAGGAAAGAAGGUAUUCUCUGUCGCUCUCUUCUCUUCCCUUCUCCCUCACGCCAUGCCGCUCUGGUAUCUUCCCUUCUCUAUUUCACUCAUCUCUCACUCUCUGUAUUUCUCCCGCCCAGCGCAAGGUCUGCAUAAUGGAAGGGGCAAGUCGUCUUCCAUAGAGCUCCUCCAUCGCUGUGUCUUGAAUAUCCUUCUCGAACAGCACCAAACCAACGCCUGAAGCCUCUCAAUUUUCAAACUUAUCAAGGAUCGCCUGAAGCUUCUCAUCUCUUCCCUUUGACAGUGGUUUCUUCUAAUCUUCAAACGCAAGGUCCUUCUACAAGAUUCGCCUGCUACAAGAUUCCAAUCGUUGCUGUCACGGAUUGGUCUUCAUCUUGCAUGAUUUGCACAUCUUUCCUAUGGUCCUUGUUGAGGUGUAAAGGCCAUGACUGCCCUCAUGAAGGGAGGAUGCAAAGGAGGUCAAACAAGUGGAAGUUUAUGGAGGAGUUUGAGGGCCAGUGCUUGAGAGACACUCAGCACCAUGGGUUGCAUAUGAUAGUGAUGAGGAUACGCCUGCUGAUGUGUAGACAGAAGUAGAGGCAAGAGAGAUACAACAUGCUAAGGCGGCCAACAGAGUUGCACAUUGGCAGGAGCAGGAUAAAGACGGGGAGUUCAAGGAGCUGGUUCUUCAAGCAUACUAUGACAUGGCCAUCUUUGUGAUGCAAUCAGAGGAAUGGUUCAAUUGGCGGCAACAAUCUUCUAUUGGUUUUGAGCCUCCUUGAAAAUCUAUGUGGUUGGGAUGGCUACGAACUUGAGGGACUUUGUCUUAACUAGUCAUAGUGGUGAAGAGACGCCCAUGGAGAUUUAUAUGGACGAUAGAUGGCUGGAUAAAUCAUUUGGCAACCAAUAUUGUAACAUUUCACAGGGUAAUGUUUGGUCAAACUUUCAGGCUUGGGGGAUUUCUCAAUGGUUUGCUCAUCUCUGUCAGUUGAGUGACAAGGUAUUAGGCCUUCAACCUAACUAGUCCAACGAGCCCAUACUGACCCCAAAACUGCAUGGACUGGGCCAUACCGGGGUUCCCUACAGAAUGAUAUGGAUUCUGGUGUGACCUCAUGGGUCAAAUAAUAAAAUUGCCAUGCUGAUGGGCAUUGCCCCAAUGCUAAUGUUUUAUAGUGACCUGGUGCUUUAGAUGAUUUAUUUGCUUACAACGGUCCACCUAGAAGCAGUGUCACUUUACCUUUGGGCUCCUACUGCUCAAGUUUACAUCUUCUAAAAUUCAUGUAGUCCAGUUAGCUUUUCUGUUAGCUCCUCCCUUGCAAGCUCCCAAUCCCCAACAAAGAAAAUCACGUAUCUUUUAUGCCUUGUUCCUGAGAGGAGGUAGUAUGUGCUUGGAGUGUGAAUGGACCAAGAACUGGAAGGCUGUUACUAUAUCUAUGAAGACUCCGUCUAUCAUCCUAGCACCUUGCAAAGUGAAAUGUGCACAGCAAAUGAUCCAUAUGCAAGAGGGUAUGGUGGUAAUCUUUUUCAACCAAAACUUCUGAGAAAAUAGUUUUGGUGUUGCUGAAGUUUAAGGCAUAUUAUCUAUCUUCACAUGCCUCUAUGUAAUUGCAUGCGUGCAUAUCUCUGCGUUUGUAAUAUGUUUGUACUGUCAUUGAACUGGAGUUGCCUGUACUUUGCAUAUGAAUAUCUCAUAUUAUGUUGAUCUUUUCAUCCUUUUGGACGAGGAUCUCAUCGGAUGGGAUGAGUACAUUGUCGGUCAAUCUUGAUUGUGAUAACUUAAAACCAGAGGGGUCGGAUGGAUUGGCUGAUGAGAAACCUGUACUUUCUUCUUUUUCUGUUAUCAGUAUUUACUCAACAUAAGGGAUUUCAGGUUAAUCUUUUACCCCUUGUUGUCUAUUGUUUAAUUUUUUCUUUAUCUUUUGUAUGUAGUAUGUCUGAUAUACUGCACUGUUUAACGUACUAACAAACUUCUGCAAAUUGCUCAAUACUCAUAAUCUAUUUUACCUACAUUUUAGAUGUUGAAGAUAGUGUUGAGUAAAGGUAGAAACAUGACCACCAUGGUUUACCUUUCCAAUUAAGUUCUGGGCUAGGGAGUGGCGAACAUUGCUUUUGCUCGCUAUGACUUUUCCUACUUUUUCCUCGUACGUGGUUUACAACUUAAAUAUAUGUACAAGAUGGAUCUUCCACACAAGCAAACAAGGGUUGAGCAUCAUUUGAGAAAUCUUUGCUGUCACUCUCUUCCAAACACUGCUUAGGAUACUUUUGUUGAUUCAAUGUUCUCAAAGCCUAAAACCUGGUUUUAAUGGCGAUCCUUUUGAUUGCACUCACUUGAAGAUUACUUUUAGCUAUCUAUUCCUUUUUAUAUGCACUGUUGCAACUGCAGUGCUAGCGAUCAGACUGUGAGUCUGUGACAUGAUUUCCGAGGUGGUUAUCUUGCUUUCAGUUCUCAGGUAGUGUUUGAACCUAAGUUCCUGAGUUAACCAUAAAGUUCCUUAUAGUACUUCUAAAUUUUUGCUUAAAGACAUUGUCAGUGUAAUAUUAAGGCUUGUAUUUUCCCUUCGAGUGGACCCGUUUUGCUUGACUAAGAUGUGGAUUGUCAGAAGUUUGUUGCAUACUUCUUAUUAUUAAUCCUUAUUUGCGUUGAUAGGCUGGGAUGCAACUCAGGCUAGGGUGGGUUGGGAAACUAGUGAAUUUUGAAAAGGGCCAAGCCCAAGGCCCAUUCUAUUGUAGUCCAAAUUUAUGUCCAAUUUUUUUUCUUCCUUGGGGUCCAAUAUAUUGGUUGAUCAGCUUUGACUUUAUAUGUACUGAAGGAGGCAUGAUUAUAUAUAUAUAUAUUUUAAGCACUUUCUCGAUUGCAGUAUGCUAUGAAAAUACUGCACAAAUAUAUAUAUAUAUAUAUAUAUUUAUAUAUUUCAAGCACUUUCUCAAUUGCAGUAUGCUAUGAAAAUACUGCAAGAGCACUUUUUGAGGGAUAGGAUGAUCUAUGUUGAUCUAAUAAACUAUUGCCUCCUGAUGAAUAGAUAGUCUGGCGGCUGGUAGAGAGGAAAUUAUUGAGGGUAUUAGGUGCCUAUUGCUAGAAGGGAACAAUCUAAUCUUAGGAAAACUUGCACGUUAGUGCAUGGACAUUAGAAGAAACAAGAGUUUUGUAAUGUGGUUUAAUUAUUGAGGGAGGGGGAGCGAAAGAGCCUGUGGUAUGUUCCAUUUGGAUUCAUGCAAAUGUAUACAAAAUCCAUCUUUUUGGAAGCUGAUAUUAUGGUAUCAUGUAAUGGGAUAAUAAUUAGAUAGCAAUACAUUAUUGGUUCUAUUUUGCAGAGGAAGUGAGAUGCUUUUGAUAUGAUAUGCUUCAGUGCAUAAUAAUGCCCAUCAAUACAACUUCUAUUUUAUUUGAGUCAAAAUCCUUUAAGUGAUCCUUUCAACCAUGGCCGAAGUAGAUGCAAAGGAAUACGAGAACAUAUGGUAGUAGUAGCAACUAUGACAAUGGAAAUGUUGUAACAGUUGUUAGAAGAACAUUGAGAGGUGCAAAGAUAGAUAAUUUGAGGCAUUAAUAUAUAUAUGACUUGUAGUUCACAAUGGGAAUAUUCUAUGGUAGCAUUAGGUUUUCUAGUACUAUGUACUUGGUCCCGAUCCCAAUUGCGGAUUAUCUGACUUAGCGGCUGACAUAUAGUUUGGCUUUGUUUGUUUGCAGCCAAAAGCAUUACUACAUUAACUUGGAUGUAGAUGAGCUUGCUUACAACAAAGAUUGUUGAAUUGCAGAUAAGUUUUGCUUAUAUCUUCUAUUUGUUUCCAAGUAUCAUUCACGUUGAUGACUUUAGAAUAAAUCCUUAUUUGAUGAUUUAUAUGCUGCACAUUUUCAGAACUGGUCUAUCUCCUUCAUUCCUUAUUAUUUACACCUUGUUUUGUGGUAUUACUCUAUGAGGGAACCAUUAGGUGGGGGAAAGCGUCAGGGGACUCCUCACUGCCUAAUCUUGACAAUAAGACUUCUAAUCUUAAAAAAAAAAAAGAAAAAAAAAAAGAAAAAAAAAAGAAAAAAAAAAGAAAAAAGAAAAAGACAAAGUGAAGGACAACAUUCAAUCUUGUUCGAUGAGGAAAUAUCACUCCCCUACCCUGCACUUGGCAAAAUAUCAUGUUUCCCCUAGACAUUUUGAAAAAUAUCACUACCUUCCCCCUAAUUUAAAAGAUUCUAUCAACCAUCCAUUUCUGUGAGAAAUGACUGUUAAGUCAUGAAUUCACAUUUCCUAAUACCCAAACUACCCUCACACACGUGUAAUACCAAUUAUAACAUUUUUAAAAAUAAAAAUUGAAGAACGGAUUCCUUUCUCUGCAACUCAUUUUCUUUUUCAAUUUGGAACCUGAGAUCCUCUAUUGGUGAUGCCCAGUGAUCGAUUGCAGGUGCUUUGUUUGAUCAGUAGUUGAAAUUGAAAAGGUUUGAAGGGGAAGACUAAAGAACUUAGGAAUCAGCAACGUGACCUUCUAUAAUCCAUUUCCGUGAACAAGGCAUGGCUAUCCAUCCCUUAGAUCCACUGCACUUUCACAACAUGAGCCGUCGAAUCAAGGGUUGCUUAGCCCAAUAACCGGCGAGCUCCUUAUCAAAAUGGGCCAAAUUGUGAAUGAUCCCAAUUCCAUGAAUUCUACGGUAAUCAAUCUUGUUUUUUGUUUGACUUGAGAAAGUAAUGAUCACCAAUUGAGUUGUCACAAGGGUUGGGAGGAGACCCAGUAACAAGCAAGAUUCAAGCUUUGCCAUUGAUGUAAUUAGGGAAUUGAGGAUUUCUUUGGAGCCAAAUCUUGUGCUGAUGGUCCCAAUCAGAAAUCUUGGGGCCAAAAGUGUAGGUAAUAAUUGGGUUGAACUUAGGCUCCGCAAGUUCAGAAGGGUCUGUAGGAUCACUAUCAUCACGAAUCUUAGCAAGGAUUUGAUUGGUUUCCUCAAUGAGGUUUUAGUUUUUGGCCUCAGCCUCGGUGUAGCCAACGAGGUUCCCUACGUCGAUGGUGGCAUGAAGGACAAAAAC